rnacentral:tRNA from 1 species
AGCUUUAUAUUCACUUAGUGAUUUAAAAUUGCAAAUUUUAAGGGGUAAAAUUUACUAAGGCUU